ACUCCUACGGGAGGCAGCAGUAGGGAAUCUUCCACAAUGGGCGCAAGCCUGAUGGAGCAACACCGCGUGAGUGAAGAAGGGUUUCGGCUCGUAAAGCUCUGUUGUUAAAGAAGAACACGUAUGAGAGUAACUGUUCAUACGUUGACGGUAUUUAGCCAGAAAGUCACGGCUAACUACGUGCCAGCAGCCGCGGUAAUACGUAGGUGGCAAGCGUUAUCCGGAUUUAUUGGGCGUAAAGAGAGUGCAGGCGGUUUUCUAAGUCUGAUGUGAAAGCCUUCGGCUUAACCGGAGAAGUGCAUCGGAAACUGGAUAACUUGAGUGCAGAAGAGGGUAGUGGAACUCCAUGUGUAGCGGUGGAAUGCGUAGAUAUAUGGAAGAACACCAGUGGCGAAGGCGGCUACCUGGUCUGCAACUGACGCUGAGACUCGAAAGCAUGGGUAGCGAACAGGAUUAGAUACCCC
rnacentral:rRNA from 1 species